CUUUGGUUCGGACACCACGUCCGAUGAAAAGGGAAUGCGGUGCGACAGUCGUCAAAUCCGCAACUGCCCCCGCAACUGUAAGCGGCGAGCGAUGCUGGCACAUGCCACUGUGGAAACACGGGAAGGCCCAGCAAAGCCCAGACCCGCAAGUCAGGAGACCUGCCAAAGUG
rnacentral:ncRNA from 1 species